GACGAACGCUGGCGGCGUGCCUAAUACAUGCAAGUAGAACGCAGUUGCGAACGGGUGAGUAACGCGUAGGUAACUGCCUCAUAGCGGGGGAUAACUAUUGGAAACGAUAGCUAAUACCGCAUACUGUGUGAUGUACCUGCGUUGUAUUGGGUAGUUGGGGAGGUAAAGGGUCACCAAGGCGACGAGACAUAGCCGACCUGAGAGGGGGAUCGGCCACACGUGGACUGAGAGAGGGCGCAGACCGGGCCGGGAGGCAGCAGUAGGGAGUAUUGGGGAAUGGACGGAAGUCUGAGCGAGCAACGCCGAGCGAGUGCAGAAGGUUUUUGGAGCGUAAAGCGUUGUUGUCAGAGAAGCGGUAGCUAAAGAGAAAGGGACGGCUAACUACGUGCCAGCAGCCGCGGUAAUAC
rnacentral:rRNA from 1 species